GGAAGUAUCGCUCAGAGGUAGAGCACUUGCCUAGAUAUGCAAGGCCAUAGGUUCCAUCCCUAAUUCUGCCC
rnacentral:tRNA from 1 species